rnacentral:rRNA from 1 species
AUGCACGCUGGCGGCGUGCCUAAUACAUGCCAGUCGAGCGAACAGACGAGGAGCUUGCUCCUCUGACGUUAGCGGCGGACGGGUGAGUAACACGUGGAUAACCUACCUAUAAGACUGGGAUAACUUCGGGAAACCGGAGCUAAUACCGGAUAAUAUAUUGAACCGCAUGGUUCAAUAGUGAAAGACGGUUUUGCUGUCACUUAUAGAUGGAUCCGCGCCGCAUUAGCUAGUUGGUAAGGUAACGGCUUACCAAGGCAACGAUGCGUAGCCGACCUGAGAGGGUGAUCGGCCACACUGGAACUGAGACACGGUCCAGACUCCUACGGGAGGCAGCAGUAGGGAAUCUUCCGCAAUGGGCGAAAACCUGACGGAGCAACGCCGCGUGAGUGAUGAAGGUCUUCGGAUCGUAAAACUCUGUUAUUAGGGAAGAACAAAUGUGUAAGUAACUAUGCACGUCUUGACGGUACCUAAUCAGAAAGCCACGGCUAACUACGUG